UGCGGGGUGGAGCAGUCUGGCAGCUCGUCGGGCUCAUAACCCGAAGGUC
rnacentral:tRNA from 2 species